rnacentral:tRNA from 1 species
GCCCAGGUGGCUCAGUCGGUUAAGCGCCUGACUUUGGCUCAGGUCAUGAUCUCACAGUUUGUGGGUCCAAGCCCCAUGUUGGGCU